UUGAAACACCAGUUCUCAUAUUAUCACUAAAGUUAAGCAAUGUUGAGACUGGUCAGUACCUAGAUGAGUGACUGCUUGGGAAUACCAGGUGCUGUAAG